CAAGAUCUGCGGUGUUCGGAGUUCGGAUUAUCUUAAUCCACAUUUUUAAACCGGGAGCGCUUUAUCGUAAAGUCUUGGCCGAUAGGCAAGGUCUGUUUAUGAACGGAAAGUCUGACGCGGCGAAGCGGCGCACCCACCUGCGAGAAGCGGGUUAACACUUUUUCGUUCUGCGGCACAGGCGGGUCGAUA
rnacentral:other from 1 species